ensembl:lncRNA
GUAAAUUGUCUGUUGUGUGUAUGCCUUGUGCUUUGUACACGAUUCCAGGGCUUUCAGGACCAUGGGGUUUUAAUGAUGUGCUGCAUCACUGAAUUCCCAAACGACUCGAGGCCUCACAAGGCGUAUCAUGGGGGAGCCUGAAGCCUAUUCCAGGGAGCUCGGGGCACAAGGCAGGGGACACCGUGGAUGGGGUACCAACCGGUCACAGGGUACAAUCACACACACUACAGACAAAGUGGAAACGCCAAUCAGCCUACAAUGCAUGUCUUUGUACCGGGAGAGGAAGCCGGAGUACCCUGAGGAAACCCCUGAAGCACCCCUAACCCUGAAGGUGCGAGGCAGACGUGCCCAUGUGAUUCCUCCCCCUACACGAUUCAUUUAUUAUCAAGUGCAACUUUUCAUGAUUCAUUGCUUUUUACAUGUGAAUUUUUUUUCGUCAGAUUUUCACAACAAUGUUUUUGUUUUCAAUGGAUUCAUUCAUUUCUACAUGUGAUUCCCCCCC